GCUAGAAUGAACGCUGGCGGCAUGGAUUAGGCAUGCAAGUCGAACGUGCUCCCUUCGGGGAGAAAGUGGCGAAAGGGUGAGUAACACGUGAGCAACCUGCCUCCGGAUCCGGAAUAAUCCAGGGAAACUUGGUCUAAAACCGGAUGAAGACAUUGGUCCGCAUGGUCUAAUGUUAAAAUAUUUAUAGUCCGGAGAGGGGCUCGCGGCCCAUUAGCUUGUUGGCGGGGUAAUGGCCCACCAAGGCUACGACGGGUAAGUGGUCUGAGAGGAUGGUCACCCACACUGGGACUGAGACACUGCCCAGACUCCUACGGGAGGCUGCAGUCGAGAAUCUUCCGCAAUGGGCGCAAAGCCUGACGGAGCGAUGCCGCGUGAGGGAUGAAGGCCUUCGGGUCGUAAACCUCUGUCAUCCGGGACGAAAACAAUGACGGUACCGGAAAAGGAAGCCACGGCUAACCACGUGCCAGCCGCUGC
rnacentral:rRNA from 1 species